GUGUCAGCCGCCGCGGUAACACGUACUGUGCGAACGUUAUUCGGAAUCACUGGGCUUAAAGGGUGCGUAGGCGGCCAUUUAAGUAGGGUGUGAAAUCCCCCGGCUCAACCGGGGAAUGGCGCUCUAAACUGGAUGGCUGGAGUGAGAUAGGGGUGUGUGGAACUUCCAGUGGAGCGGUGAAAUGUGUUGAUAUUGGAAGGAACGCCGUUGGCGAAAGCGGCACACUGGGUCUCAACUGACGCUGAGGCACGAAAGCUAGGGGAGCGAACGGGAUUAGAUACCCCCGUAGUCC
rnacentral:rRNA from 1 species